rnacentral:rRNA from 1 species
AUUGAACGCUGGCGGCAGGCUUAACACAUGCAAGUCGAACGAGUGGCGGACGGGUGAGUAAUGCUUGGGAAUCUAGCUUAUGGAGGGGGAUAACUACGGGAAACUGUAGCUAAUACCGCGUACCAUAGGAUGAGCCCAAGUGGGAUUAGGUAGUGGGUGGGGUAAAGGCUCACCAAGGCGACGAUCUCUAGCUGGUCUGAGAGGAUGAACAGCCAAACCGGGACUGAGACAAGGCCCAGACUCCCAAGGGAGGGAACAGGGGGGAAUAUUGCGCAAAGGGGCGAACCUGACGCAGCCAUGCCGCGUGAAUGAAGAAGGCCUUCGGGUUGGAAAGGUCGUUCGGUAGCGAGGAGUUAACUACAGGAGGAGCACCGGCUAACUCCGUGCCAAGAACCGCGGUAAUAC